rnacentral:tRNA from 1 species
GAGGGCGUAGCUCAGUGGUAGAGCGCAUGCUUCACAUGCGUGAGGUCCUGGGUUUAAUCCCCAAAACCUCCA